CCCAUGGCUAUAUGAUGAAAUAAAUGUUGGUAGGGACAUCUGAGUAAAUGUGAAGAAACGCCAACAUUUCUGAUUGCAUGGG
ensembl:snoRNA